rnacentral:rRNA from 1 species
GCGCAGCAGUCGAGAAACUUUACAAUGUGCGAAAGCACGAUAAGGGAACUCUGAGUGCCUCCUAAGGAGGCUGUUCAGGUGUCUAAAAGCACCUGAAGGAAGGGCUGGGUAAGACCGGUGCCAGCCGCCGCGGUAACACCGGCAGCCCAAGUGGUAGCCACGUUUAUUGGGUCUAAAGCGUCCGUAGCCGGCUGGGUAAGUUCCUUGGGAAAUUUGGCUGCUUAACAGUCAAGCUUUCAGGGAAUACUGCCCGGCUUGGGACCGGGAGAGGUCAGAGGUACUCCAGGGGUAGGGGUGAAAUCCAUUAAUCCUUGGGGGACCACCGGUAGCGAAGGCGUCUGACCAGACCGGGUCCGACGGUGAGGGACGAAGGCUAGGGGCGCGAACCGGAUUAGAUACCCGCGUAGU